rnacentral:lncRNA from 1 species
AACAUCUGUUUAAAUUAUUCCUGGAAUGUUACCAUAAGACAUUCUGUGAACAUACUACCAAUGUUCCUAUAUUUUAAGUUGCGAAAUAAUACAUACGUGUAAGAGAUACAACAUUACUUAUAACAUACCAGACAAACUAAGUGACAUUUUAGGCCUACAGUGCAAUAAUAUGUCAAAUUUAAAGAGUUUCCCAAGUUCAAUUAAUACAAUAUUAUAAACAUACAAAUGUAAUAAAAAUUAUUGUUCGCGAAUAUUCAAUUUGGAAUGCGAUUUUGUUAAUAAAAAAAAUACUUAUAACUUAUGCAAAACCCAAGAGAGGCAUUUAUAUUUAUUUCUUUUGCGUUCAUUUUCAAAUUCGCCGUGCAUAUAUUUUUGUGCAUGGCGCUUGAGAGGGCAUCACGUGACUAAAAACGACCAACCAACGACCUCGCUUCGGCCAUCUGGGCAUCUUCAUCUUGGCCACCUUGCCCGGCCUUGCCUUGCCGUGGAUCUUUGUUUGUAUUAUUUGUGCUUUUUAAGAAUAUUGUUUUAAUUCGGAUACUUUUAUAAUAGCUUUAAUAGUAUUAUUAACAUAGUGAAUAAAAUGGUGUCCUGUUUUUAACGCAGUUGGAGUAGCAGAAACAAAUAAUGUAGAUAAAAAAAUCUGCAGGAAUAACGUUUCAAUUAUGACAGAAGCUCCAAACAAAUGACUGUGAAUGAAAAGCCCUAUUAAAAGCUUUCCAGAAGAUCCUGCGAAGAAGACAUGAAGUAUAGAUCAGAUUUGUUAAUAGAGGAGUAUGUUCAAAACACUUUUUAGAAAAAGAUAUUGACAGAACUUCA